rnacentral:rRNA from 1 species
GAUGAACGCUGGUGGCGUGCCUAACACAUGCAAGUCGAGCGAUUCUCUUCGGAGAAGAGCGGCGGACGGGUGAGUAACGCGUGGGUAACCUGCCCUGUACACACGGAUAACAUACUGAAAGGUAUGCUAAUACGAGAUAACAUGCUUUUAUCGCAUGGUAGAAGUAUCAAAGCUUUUGCGGUACAGGAUGGACCCGCGUCUGAUUAGCUAGUUGGUGAGGUAACGGCUCACCAAGGCGACGAUCAGUAGCCGACCUGAGAGGGUGAUCGGCCACAUUGGAACUGAGACACGGUCCAAACUCCUACGGGAGGCAGCAGUGGGGAAUAUUGCACAAUGGGCGAAAGCCUGAUGCAGCAACGCCGCGUGAGCGAUGAAGGCCUUCGGGUCGUAAAGCUCUGUCCUCAAGGAAGAUAAUGACGGUACUUGAGGAGGAAGCCCCGGCUAACUACGUG